rnacentral:sRNA from 1 species
UAAGAUCGGGACUCAUGGCCGGCCACGGU